AGUGAACGCUGGCGGUAGGCCUAACACAUGCAAGUCGAACGGCAGCACAGUAAGCGCUUGCUCUUACGGGUGGCGAGUGGCGGACGGGUGAGGAAUACAUCGGAAUCUACUUUUUCGUGGGGGAUAACGUAGGGAAACUUACGCUAAUACCGCAUACGACCUACGGGUGAAAGCAGUGGAUCUUCGCACCUUUCGCGAUUCAAUUAGCCGAUGUCGGAUUAGCUAGUUGGCGGGGUAAAGGCCCACCAAGGCGACGAUCCGUAGCUGGUCUGAGAGGAUGAUCAGCCACACUGGAACUGAGACACGGUCCAGACUCCUACGGGAGGCAGCAGUGGGGAAUAUUGGACAAUGGGCGCAAGCCUGAUCCAGCCAUACCGCGUGAGUGAAGAAGGCCUUCGGGUUGUAAAGCCCUUUUGUUGGGAAAGAAAAGAAGCAGGUUAAUACCCCGCUGUUCUGACGGUACCCAAAGAGUAAGCACCGGCUAACUUCGUG
rnacentral:rRNA from 1 species